rnacentral:rRNA from 2 species
UGGAAGUAAAAGUCGUAACAAGGUCUCCGUUGGUGAACCAGCGGAGGGAUCAUUACCGAGUUUACAACUCCCAAACCCAAUGUGAACGUUACCAAACUGUUGCCUCGGCGGGAUCUCUGCCCCGGGUGCGUCGCAGCCCCGGACCAAGGCGCCCGCCGGAGGACCAACCUAAAACUCUUAUUGUAUACCCCCUCGCGGGUUUUUUUUAUAAUCUGAGCCUUCUCGGCGCCUCUCGUAGGCGUUUCGAAAAUGAAUCAAAACUUUCAACAACGGAUCUCUUGGUUCUGGCAUCGAUGAAGAACGCAGCGAAAUGCGAUAAGUAAUGUGAAUUGCAGAAUUCAGUGAAUCAUCGAAUCUUUGAACGCACAUUGCGCCCGCCAGUAUUCUGGCGGGCAUGCCUGUCCGAGCGUCAUUUCAACCCUCGAACCCCUCCGGGGGGUCGGCGUUGGGGAUCGGCCCUCCCUUAGCGGGUGGCCGUCUCCGAAAUACAGUGGCGGUCUCGCCGCAGCCUCUCCUGCGCAGUAGUUUGCACACUCGCAUCGGGAGCGCGGCGCGUCCACAGCCGUUAAACACCCAACUUCUGAAAUGUUGACCUCGGAUCAGGUAGGAAUACCCGCUGAACUUAAGCAUAUCAAUAAGCGGAGGA